ACGCCUGGCGCAUCGCGCAAAUGCACGCAUGACGAAAGCGGCCCGCUUCUGCGGGCCGCUUUUUUUUGCCGUCG
rnacentral:sRNA from 2 species